rnacentral:rRNA from 1 species
GGGGAUAACACUUGGAAACAGGUGCUAAUACCGUAUAACACUAUUUUCCGCAUGGAAGAAAGUUGAAAGGCGCUUUUGCGUCACUGAUGGAUGGACCCGCGGUGCAUUAGCUAGUUGGUGAGGUAACGGCUCACCAAGGCCACGAUGCAUAGCCGACCUGAGAGGGUGAUCGGCCACACUGGGACUGAGACACGGCCCAGACUCCUACGGGAGGCAGCAGUAGGGAAUCUUCGGCAAUGGACGAAAGUCUGACCGAGCAACGCCGCGUGAGUGAAGAAGGUUUUCGGAUCGUAAAACUCUGUUGUUAGAGAAGAACAAGGAUGAGAGUAGAACGUUCAUCCCUUGACGGUAUCUAACCAGAAAGCCACGGCUAACUACGUGCCAGCAGCCGCGGUAAUACGUAGGUGGCAAGCGUUGUCCAGAUUUAUUGGGCGUAAAGCGAGCGCAGGCGGUUUCUUAAGUCUGAUGUGAAAGCCCCCGGCUCAACCGGGGAGGGUCAUUGGAAACUGGGAGACUUGAGUGCAGAAGAGGAGAGUGGAAUUCCAUGUGUAGCGGUGAAAUGCGUAGAUAUAUGGAGGAACACCAGUGGCGAAGGCGGCUCUCUGGUCUGUAACUGACGCUGAGGCUCGAAAGCGUGGGGAGCGAACAGGAUUAGAUACCCU